AGUUCUCAAAUCGCAAAUUGGUUAAAAAAUAUUUAUUUCACUUCUUACAGGCGACCCUCAGCAUUUCACAAGAACAUGUUGGCGAUUUCUCUGGUGGAAUCCUAUCCAGUGCUACGCUCAAGCACACGAGAUGUGCCACAAGCGUUGUGGUUCUACCCACAUGCUCGAGGAAAGCAUCGCCACAGUGGACGGUUGCAGUAUCAUUUGGAGUACCUUGUUCGCAAGUCAUCCGAUAGGAAGAUUCUCAGGACUAAGAAAGCUGAUUUGGCACCCGAAGAGCCUUCUCCCCACGAUGAAAGUCUGCAGCACAAUGAAAACAUCGAGGAAAUGGUAAAAACAUACCUGAUAAGCGUUAAGAGUUAAGAUAAACAUCGUUUGUUUUUAGAUCGCCGAACUCAAGUUUCUAUGUCCUGGCCCCAACACCCGUAUACGAGCAGAAGAAUUGUGGCAGCAAACCUUUGAAGAUCGUGCACGGUUCCGAAAGAAUGGGAGUUUUCACGUAUUCAUGAACGAGAAUCCGGUGGCGUCGGCGUUUGAUGGUCAUUUGGUAAGAGUUGUUUUAAUCAGGUGCCAUUCAUAUAAAACUGUUACUAUGGACUAAUCUACCGAUGAACCGAAUUAACUCGGUUCGAGAAUAUCAACAUUAGAGCGGGGCCGACCAAUUCUGAUUGGAAACUGUCCCACUUUAGUGCCAAAAUUCUCGGCCCAAGCGAAUUCGGUUCAUCGGUGGAUCAGUCCAUUUGGGAUAUGCACACUAUUAUCUAAGGUCCAAAUUAUGCUACUUUCGGCAGUUUUGUUCUCUUUAUCAUGGGGUGUUUCGUCGGAUGUGUUGAACUCCUAGUUGGCCUCAGUGCUUUCCCAACCAAACUGAAUUAUACGACAAAGUUUCAAGCAAUUUUGCCAACAAAAACACCUCAUGAUGAAAAGAACAAAUCUGCUCAAAAUACCCAAAGUCACCCUAUUAAUGCUAUGAGAGAUGAAUUGAUAAAGUAUUACAGGUCGGACUCGAUUAUCCGGAGUCAGAUUCUGAAGCUUUCCAAAAGUAUAUCUGAGGAGCGGAACGCUCUACAAAGCUGAAAUUUUGACAGAUUGCUAAUCAAGGUUGGCUUGAUAAAAUGUCCAAAAUUCAGCUUUAUAUAGCAUUCCGUUCUGGGGGAGCUUCAGAACCCAACUCCGGAUAAUAGAGUCCGGCCUGUAUCAUGUGAUGUUUAUGAAGUUUAUCAAUUUGUUGUCUCUAUUUUCAGCUUUCGCUUGAUUUCCAAAAACUACAUCCUCAAGCACGAUGUCUUGAUGCUGACUUCCAAGAAUGGACCAGAAAGGUUUUGUUGGCCUACCCAGACGAAUUGCGGCAUAUUGUAAAUCAAACUGUAAGAACCCUGGGAAUCAUUCGGAUGAAGAAUCCAAGCCGAGGAAAAAAACGCACAAGGACUGAUGCAAACAGCUCAAACGAUAAUCCCCUAGCAGGAAUUGUCGAAUGAUUGAAUGUGGAUGACCCGCUUCCGGCAGACAGUCAAGACUAUCCUGUACUCUAUUUGCGAGGACAGUUUCCAGAAGAUCGUGCCGAAGGAGUUAUUUCGUGGAGGGGUAUCACAAUUAACAUCAACAAGGACUUGCUGCACUGCUUCGAGGUGCUUUGUCAAUCGUGGCUGGUAUUCAACAUUGAUUGCCGACCUAGUGACAAGCAGUUUUUCAUGUUCAUCAAAGCCAUUUUGAUGAACGUGGGAAACAUUAGCACAACAGGCGAGAAAUUUUUGCGGAGACUGGAAUGAUUUCUUGUAGACGAUUUGCCUCAGGCUCGCUUAAGGGAUACUCCAAUUGCUGGGACCAAGGCAGGAACCAGGUUUUAUCAAUAUCACCACUAAUGUUUUAUUUCAUUGAAUUCAAUCUACAUUCCAGCUAUAAGAUUUCACAAAUAAAUCAUCAACUUCUUCCAAAUUCCAAAUAAAGUCAAAUGUGAUUUUUAUUAUCUCGUCAUAUUUUGAAAGAAAAUUGCAUUUUAUUGGUCGGGUCUAUUAAUAAGAAAUCAAAACUGAUCAGUCGGUAAAAAAGCCGAGUGGAAAUAUUUAAACAAAUACUGAGUAGCACAGUUAUUUUCAUCUCGUAAACAAACCAAAAUUUUACCGACUGAUCAGUUAUUUUUGACAAUUUGCUUUUACUGGAAAGUCGGUAACACUAAAAGAUACAUUGAGCUUUACUGGGUAUUCAGCAGUUCAAAAACCCAGUAAAAUUUUACCGACUUCGGUAAAUUAAAGUA